rnacentral:rRNA from 1 species
CCUGGCUCAGAACGAACGCUGGCGGCAGGCUUAACACAUGCAAGUCGAUCGCCCUUUUCGGAGGGAGAGGCGCACGGGUGAGUAACGCGUGGGAAUAUGCCCUGGAGUAUGGAAUAACUGAGGGAAACUUCAGCUAAUACCGUAUACGCCCUAUGGGGGAAAGAGCAAUUGCUCUGGGAUUAGCCCGCGUCCGAUUAGCUAGUUGGUGAGGUAAUGGCUCACCAAGGCGACGAUCGGUAGCUGGUCUGGGAGGACGAUCAGCCACACUGGGACUGAGACACGGCCCAGACUCCUACGGGAGGCAGCAGUGGGGAAUAUUGGACAAUGGGGGCAACCCUGAUCCAGCCAUGCCGCGUGAGUGAUGAAGGCCUUCGGGUUGUAAAGCUCUUUCAGACGAGACGAUGAUGACGGUAUCGUCAGAAGAAGCCCCGGCUAACUUCGUGCCAGCAGCCGCGGUAAUACGAAGGGGGCUAGCGUUGUUCGGAAUUACUGGGCGUAAAGCGCGCGUAGGCUGCGACAUGAGUCAGAGGUGAAAUUCCAGGGCUUAACCUUGGCAUUGCCUUUGAUACUGUGUUGCUAGAGAUCGAGAGAGGGUGGCGGAAUACCCAGUGUAGAGGUGGAAUUCGUA